UACGUAGGGACCAAGCGUUGUCCGGAAUCAUUGGGCGUAAAGAGCGUGUAGGCGGCCUGUUAAGUCUUGCGUGAAAUCUCGGGGCUCAACCCCGAGCGGUCGUGAGAAACUGGCAGGCUAGAGUGCGGGAGAGGAGAGUGGAAUUCCUGGUGUAGCGGUGAAAUGCGCAGAUAUCAGGAAGAACACCCGUGGCGAAGGCGACUACCUGGACCAGCACUGACACUGAGGCACGAAAGCGUGGGGAGCAAACAGG
rnacentral:rRNA from 1 species